CCCUUAGAUGUUCUGGGCUGCACGCGCGCUACACUGAAGCUAUCAACACGUUUUCCCUCCCUGAGAAGGGCGGGUAACCUUUUGAAUCAGCUUCGUGGUAGGGAUCGGGGCUUGCAAUUGUUCCCCGUGAACCAGGAAUUCCUCGUAGACGCGAGUCAUAAGCUCGCAUCGAUUAAGUCCCUGCCCUUUGUACACACCGCCCGUCGCUACUACCGAUUGAACGUUUUAGUGAGGCAUUUGGACCGACGCAUCUCAGUUUAACCGCUGGUUUGUGUUGGAAAGACUUCCAAACUUGAGCGUUUAGAGGAAGUAAAAGUCGUAACA
rnacentral:rRNA from 1 species